UGAAUCAUAUCUCUUAUAAAUUUAACAUUAAUUUAUACAUAAUCGAUAUGAGAUUUAACUACUCACACUAAAACAUCGUACAAUAGUUUUCUCUGGUGUGGAUUCUCACAUCCUAUAUAUAUAUUUGAUCAAAUACCAUGAUCUACUCUCGCUCUUCCACCGCCAAGCCGAACCAGAGCUCUGAUGCCACUUGUUGGAGAAUCAACGAGAGUGUCGAGAGUAACAGUAUGAGUCAAAUGCUCUACGACCAAAAGAGAGGGAGACAUCACCUUUAGAGGAAUCACUCAACUAGUUCAUAAAUAUGAGUCAAACCAACUUUGAAAAUAUGCAAGCCACAGUGGCUGAUCAAGGAGCGUCAAUAAAAAAUCUGAAAACGUAAAUAGGUCAGCUAUCUAAACUUUGUUACUAAUUUUUCUCAAAUUUAUGCUGGAAAUACGGUGGACAAUCCAAAGAUAGAGUAAUAUAAGGUUGUGGGAGAAAAAGAAAAAGGUGAAAAUAAAAAUAUAGAAAAAGAGAAGAAAAAAAAGAGAGAAGAAUGAGAAGGAGCUAUUACAGUUCCAAAAAUGGUUCAAACAGUUGGGCGUGACUCUGGAAAAAGUCCACGAAGAAUUCAUGGGAGAACUACAAAUGCAAUAUCAAGAAGACAAAGUGCACGUUGCAGAAUGUAGCCAUUGUGUGUGAAGUAAACUCCGGCCGAAACGUGAAGAUCCAAGAAGAUUCACCGUUCUCUGUUGCAUUGGUAAAGCUAAAGAAAAGGCCUUGUGUGAUCUCAAGAGGGAC
rnacentral:lncRNA from 1 species